rnacentral:rRNA from 1 species
UCCUACGGGAGGCAGCAGUAGGGAAUAUUGGACAAUGGGGGCAACCCUGAUCCAGCCAUGCCGCGUGUGUGAAGAAGGCUUUCGGGUUGUAAAGCACUUUCAGCGAGGAGGAAAUGUCAGCGGUUAAUACCCGCGGACUAUGACGUUACUCGCAGAAGAAGGACCGGCUAACUCCGUGCCAGCAGCCGCGGUAAUACGGAGGGUCCGAGCGUUAAUCGGAAUUACUGGGCGUAAAGCGCGCGUAGGCGGUCAGAUCAGUCGGGUGUGAAAGCCCCGGGCUCAACCUGGGAACUGCAUUCGAUACUGUCUGACUGGAGUAUGGGAGAGGGCAGUGGAAUUCCACGUGUAGCGGUGAAAUGCGUAGAUAUGUGGAGGAACACCUGUGGCGAAGGCGGCUGCCUGGCCCAAUACUGACGCUGAGGUGCGAAAGCGUGGGUAGCGAACAGGAUUAGAUACCCUGGUAGUCCACGCCGUAAACGAUGUCAACUAGCCGUUGGGGGACUUGAUCCCUUAGUGGCGCAGCUAACGCGAUAAGUUGACCGCCUGGGGAGUACGGCCGCAAGGUUAAAACUCAAAUGAAUUGACGG